rnacentral:tRNA from 1 species
AGAAAUUUAGGUUAAUGUAUUAGACCAAGGGCCUUCAAAGCCCUAAGUAGAGGAGAAAAUCCUCUAAAUUCUG